UACAGAGGUCUCAAGCGUUGUUCGGAUUCAUUGGGCGUAAAGGGUGUGUAGGUGGCGCCGUAAGUCGGGUGUGAAAUUUCGGAGCUUAACUCCGAAACUGCAUUCGAUACUGCGGUGCUUGGGGACUGGAGAGGAGACUGGAAUUCAUGGUGUAGCAGUGAAAUGCGUAGAGAUCAUGAGGAAGACCAGUGGCGAAGGCGGGUCUCUGGACAGUUCCUGACACUGAGACACGAAGGCCAGGGGAGCAAACGGG
rnacentral:rRNA from 1 species